CACAGUUAUUAGGAUUACGGUUUCUUCAUUGCUUUUGCUCUAAAUCUCGGUUAUUUAUUCCAAAUCGCAGUUAGGGUUUUUUGUUUUCAGUCGAAUUUUUAUCCAAGAACGAAGUUCACCCAUAAAUCCACUUGAAAUUGAAAUAUGUCUAAAAGAGGUAGAGGUAAAAGAGGUGUUGCUUCUUGUUCAAAGAAAAUGAGAGAAGAUGAAUUGCACGUUGAUUUUGAUGACGAUAUGCUAGCGAUGGGUAAACAAAAAAGUAAAUUUGCUUCAUGGUUAGGAUUAACAUUGAGAGCAAGGUUUCCAUAUCAUAUUCCUACAAAAAAAUUUGACAAGCAAAGGUGGGAAAACCUUUGGCUGGAAGCUAAGGAUUGUUGGAAUAUUCUAGACGAUAAACCAAAGCACGUUUUCCUCAAAAAAGCCAAGAAAAAUUGUACUGAUUGGAGAAGUAAGUUGUAUAUAGAAUACGUAAAAGUAAAUGAAGAACCUUUUGACAAGUAUAAGUAUCUCGAUCGAUCAAAGUGGCCCGUGUUCGUUGCGUCAAAGAAGGAAGAAAAAUUUUU